GUACUUACCUAGCAGGGGAGAUACCAUGAUCAUGAAGGUGGUUUUCCCAGGGCAAGGCUCAUCCAUUGCACUCCGGAUGUGCUGACCCCUGAGAUUUCCCCAAAUGUGGGAAACUCGACUGCAUAAUUUGUGGUAGUUAUAAAAUAAUAAUACUUCAUUUUAUAU
ensembl:snRNA U1 U1 spliceosomal RNA